AGAGUUUGAUCCUGGCUCAGAUUUUCGAACGCUGGCGGCAUGCCUAACACAUGCAAGUCGAACGGUAACGAAGCUAGCUUGCUAGCAGGCGACGAGUGGCGAACGGGUGAGUAACGCGUAGGAAUAUGCCUUUUUGUGGGGGACAACUUUAGGAAACUGAAGCUAAUACCGCAUAAUAUCUUCGGAUAAAAGCUGGGGACUUCUUUUGAGGCCUGGUGCAAAGAGAUUAGCCUGCGUCCGAUUAGCUAGUUGGUAGGGUAAAGGCCUACCAAGGCGACGAUCGGUAGCUGUUCUGAGAGGAAGAUCAGCCACACUGGGACUGAGACACGGCCCAGACUCCUACGGGAGGCAGCAGUGGGGAAUAUUGGACAAUGGGGGCAACCCUGAUCCAGCAAUGCCGCGUGUGUGAAGAAGGCCUGAGGGUUGUAAAGCACUUUCAGUGGGGAGGAAAGGUUGCGUGUUAAUAGUACGUGAGCUGUGACGUUACCCACAGAAGAAGCACCGGCUAACUCCGUGCCAGCAGCCGCGGUAAUACGGGGGGUGCAAGCGUUAAUCGGAAUUACUGGGCGUAAAGGGUCCGUACGUUGUUUUGUAAGUUGGCUGUGAAAGCCCCGGGCUCAACCUGGGAUGGUCAGUCAAAACUACAAGACUAGAGUAUAGUAGAGGGGUGUGGAAUUUCCGGUGUAGCGGUGAAAUGCGUAGAGAUCGGAAGGAACACCAGUGGCGAAGCGGCACCCUGGACUAAUACUGACACUGAGGGACGAAAGCGUGGGGAGCAAACAGGAUUAGAUACCCCGGUGUCCACGUCCCGCCCUAAACGAUGAACACUAGUCGUCGGGAUGCUAGUCAUCUCGGUGAUGCACUUAACAGAUUAAGUGUUCCGCCUGGGGAGUACGGUCGCAAGAUUAAAACUCAAAGGAAUAGACGGGGACCCGCACAAGUGGUGGAGCAUGUGGUUUAAUUCGAAGAUACGCGAAGAACCUUACCUAGCCUUGACAUUGAUUGAACGGACCAGAGAUGGACCGGUGCCCUUCGGGGAACAUGAAAACAGGUGCUGCACGGCUGUCGUCAGCUCGUGUCGUGAGAUGUUGGGUUAAGUCCCGCAACGAGCGCAACCCUCGUCAAUAGUUGCCAGCAGGUUAAGCUGGGCACUCUAUUGAGACUGCCUUCGCAAGGAGGAGGAAGGUGAGGACGACGUCAAGUCAUCAUGGCCCUUAUGACUAGGGCUACACACGUGCUACAAUGGGGCGUACAGAGAGUUGCGAUACCGUGAGGUGGAGCCAAUCUCAUAAAGCGUCUCUCAGUUCGGAUUGAAGUCUGCAACUCGACUUCAUGAAGCUGGAAUCACUAGUAAUCGUAGAUCAGCAAUGCUACGGUGAAUACGUUCCCGGGUCUUGUACUCACCGCCCGUCACACCAUGGGAGUUGAUUUCACCCGAAAUUGGGAAGCUAACCUUCGGGAGGCUACCACUUACGGUGGAAUUAGCGACUGGGGUGAAGUCGUAACAAGGUACC
rnacentral:rRNA from 1 species